GAGGAUUUAGCUUAAUUAAAGUGAUUGAUUUGCAUUCAGUAGAUGUAGGGUAGGUUCCUGCAGUCCUUA
rnacentral:tRNA from 1 species